AAGACAGUUGUCUAGACAGAUGUGUACACAAGGCGGUGUACAAUGGUGAAACAAACACGCAUACAUAGCAGACAACCUCCAGCACACAGUUCGAGUUCGACUCUGCUUUCAAACUUUGAUGUGAAAAUGAUGCAAUGAUAUGGAAAGUAAGUCGAUGAAAGAGAAAAUAAUGCAAUACAAUGGAAAGUGAGAUGAUACAAUGGAAAGGUAUAAGGUGGAACUGAAAGUGAUGCAAUGAAUUCUAUUUAAAGAUAGUCGAUCACUCACUGUGUCCUGGGAAGUUGUAUCCGU